GCAUUGGUGGUUCCCUGGUAGAAUUUUUGCCUUCCAUGCAGGUAAUCUGGGUUCAAUUCCUGGCCAAAGCA
rnacentral:tRNA from 1 species